ACACUGAAGCCUUACAGGAAUUUUACAUCACCUGUUACAAAGAGGCAGGAGGAGAAGAAUUCCCAAGCUGCUCCUCCCACCUGCUUCCACAAAGGACAGGAAUUUUAUUUUCCUAUUUAUAAGGUCUCUAAUGGACUGGCUGUCACUGUAGCAUCCUGAAGACAGGUGUGUGCUUCCCUAUUUUCACCAGUCCUUGAACAUCAUCACCUGAAGCUGCCCGUGUGAGAUGAUCAGGAUUUACACAAAGUCACGUACACUCAUCUCUGGCUUUAUACACUCUCCCUACAUAAAACAUCAGGU